UGUAAGCCUUCUGUCAAUUUCUUAAGCUAGUGAACUUGACACCAGUAGGGAAAUAUGUCACAGUUUGCAGAAUCGCUAGCUUGAUUAAUAUUUAUUGGCGCAUUCCUUAACAGAUUUGACUCUGCUGCUCUCCUGCUGACGUGGCCAAUGAUGUCCAGUCAAGAAGAACAAGUGGUCAUUCAGACCCAGAAAUUGAAGCCCAGAUGACCUUAAGGCAGCCAAUGAGAUGCCACCAGUAAGAAGGUAAAGGGAUGGGUCAAGAACCAGAUGAACUUCACCUGUGGCUAUGACAGCAGCAGGAGGAAAGAGCAGGUUCUUCCCCCUGCGCAAGUCAAGCGUCUGGUGCAUGAUACCAGGGAGAUGGCAGGUCUCCAACCCACAAUGUAAUGCACCGGGCUCGUCAACUGAUCUCCCAGUAGCCAAUGAGCUGUCAGCUGACCUUCCUGAAGCCAAUGCGCUGUGACCUGCUCCCAAAGGCAUGUUUGAAGAUGGCUGGCAUCUGGUCUGACAGUAGAGCAGCAGUCAGCGUCACGCAGUCGUCACACCAACCCCAUAGCCAGAGGGACAAGAGCUGCUACUGCAGUCUGUCUUGGUGUAUCUGUGCACACGUGCUUCCCAGGGACAUGUGCAAGUUGGAUAAGAGUGGUGGAGUUGGUGGGUGAUAUUGGAAGGUGAAAUUAUAUUGACAAGGUGAAACAAUAUGAAUAUUGCAAAAUAAAGUAAUUCUUAU